rnacentral:rRNA from 1 species
AUUGAACGCUGGCGGCAGGCUUAACACAUGCAAGUCGAGCGGAGCGAGGGUGCUUGCACCUUAGCUUAGCGGCGGACGGGUGAGUAAUGCUUAGGAAUCUGCCUAUUAGUGGGGGACAACAUUCCGAAAGGAAUGCUAAUACCGCAUACGCCCUACGGGGGAAAGCAGGGGAUCUUCGGACCUUGCGCUAAUAGAUGAGCCUAAGUCGGAUUAGCUAGUUGGGGGGGUCAAGGCCUACCAAGGCGACGAUCUGUAGCGGGUCUGAGAGGAUGGUCCGCCACACUGGGACCGAGACACGGCCCAGACUCCUACGGGAGGCAGCAGUGGGGAAUAUUUGACAAUGGGCGGAAGCCUGAUCCAGCCAUGCCGCGUGUGUGAAGAAGGCCUUUUGGUUGUAAAGCACUUUAAGCGAGGAGGAGGCUACUUAGAUUAAUACUCUGGGAUAGUGGACGUUACUCGCAGAAUAAGCACCGGCUAACUCUGUGCCAGCCGCCGCCGUAAAAC